rnacentral:sRNA from 1 species
GGGGCUGUUUUGGAUUCGACGUAAUUUAUUAAAAUUUUAAUUCAUGCCGAGGAAAAGUUGGCCUCGUUAAAAACUUAUAAAAAAAAUAAAAGCAAAAAAAACAAAUUAUGCUUUAGCAGCUUAAAUUUAUUUUUAAAAAAUAUGUUAAUAAAUUUACUAUUAUAUUUAAAAUAUUUAAUAUUAAUAAACUAUAAUUAUUUUAAAUAUGUUUAAUUUUUAUAAAAUUAAACUAAGCAUGUAAUAUUAAAAUCUAAAAUUUUACGGACGCGGGUUCAAAUCCCGCCAGCUCCAA